UAGCAAAGAUUUACAGUGUGAUGUAACUGAAAUUAUACAUUGAAAAAUUGAUUGUUUGUUAAGCCUUUCAUCUGUGAGAAUACAGUGAUAGCUUCACUUCUUUCAUGUUUAG